CGUCUAGGCGGCCGACUAAGUCCCGCGUGAAAGCUCCUGGCUCAACUAGGAGAGGGCGCGGGAGACUGGCUGGCUAGAGACUCGGAGAGGGGUGUGGAAUUCCCGGUGGAGUGGUGAAAUGCGUUGAGAUCGGGAGGAACACCAGAGGCGAAGGCGGCACCCUGGCCGAGUUCUGACGCUGAAGCGCGAGAGCGUGGGGAGCGAACGGGAUUAGAUACCCCGGUAGUCCACGCCGUAAACGAUGACAACUAGGCGUUGGGGGUCCAAGGACGCUCAGUGCCGCAGCAAACGCGGUAAGUUGUCCGCCUGGGGAGUACGGCCGCAAGGCUAAA
rnacentral:rRNA from 1 species